UGUCAAUCAGUUACCACACAGAGGACAAAAUUAUCUCUUUCCUGGUUCAGCCCUCCACAGGGACUCUGUUAAAUGGUUCUACUCAAAGGAAGACAGGGGACUAGUUUGCCCUGGGCAGAAUCCACAGAACUGGUCUCAAAACCAAGAGGCUCCUGGGAGCCAUGAUAGCUGAGGCCAGGCUCUCUUGCUGGGAUUGAUCCCAGGUACAGGAGCAAGCUGGCUCAUUAUUACAUUUGAACAUAAAGUAUUAAAGAACUGGAUCCCAGCCAGUGGUACCACUUGACUUCAGGAGGCAGGGCUCACUGAAAGAAGCAGAGUGAAGAAAUUGAAUGCAAACACUCCUUCAGGAGGGUGAAUCCCAAGACAUAGGACAGAGGCCACCAGGACUCUGCCUUCUCCCUGCUGGAGCUCCAGGCUUUGGAAGCCUUCUGCCCUCAAAUCUCCAAAGGAUCCAGAUGCCUUUGCUCGAAUCUCCAAAAUACCGAAGCCAGCAUGAUGAUGGUGGCCUUCACCUUCAUAGUCUUUUAGGGAGUCUUCCCCAGGGAUGCAGGGAACAGAUGGCUGGGCUCACCUUCUCUGCUGGCAAAUCAGGUAUGGCCACAGCCAACAGAUUGGAAGUGGG
rnacentral:lncRNA from 1 species